rnacentral:tRNA from 1 species
UGCCGGAGUGGCGGAACUGGCAGACGCGGCGGACUCAAAAUCCGCAGGGGUUCAGAGCUCCGUGUGGGUUCGACUCCCACCCCCGGCACCAU